GUACCUAUUUUAUACUUGACGAGGCUUGUGUUCGUGACGUGUAUUGCAUCAGCUGUUUCAGUUUAAUUAUUUUAUUCCAAUAGUAGUGUAAUCCACAUUAUGUAAGUGUAAAUUUACCUUCUGUCACCAUGGUUUCUCCCUCAGACAGCUUGUAUUGUGAUAUUUUGUUUUAUUUUCGACGUAAAGAUGAGAGAGAAACAAACCUAAUGUAUUUAUCUUCUGUCUUGAUAAGUAGUAUCGAAAUACCUUUAAUAUCUAUGACAAAAUUUCAUAAUUUGAAAAUAAACAAAUUGAAACUACGAAAGAGUGAAAUUAAAAAGAAAUGAACAUAAACUUGUGGUUGAAAUUCACUUCAAUAAGUAUCCUCUACCUACUUAUUGAAAUCAAUGUAGCCAAAUUUUCCUUUCUUUUUCAAAUUUAUUAAAUAUCUUGAAUUCAGGAGUCAUAAUAAUAUCAUGCAAACAAAUUAAUGUAAUAUUGGUGUAGCCUUGUAUCCCUUGGCAGAGCAUUGACGUGUUGCGGGGGUGGAGUUCGUCUUCGUGUAUGUUAUUUAUUCAUUUAUCUGUUUUUCCCAUUUGUCUUUCGCAAUUCAGCGGUGAUAAAUACGGUCAGUGUUAGUGCUAGUGUUCACAAGUCGGAGAGGAUGGUGGAUGAACUCACACAAAACACGAGGCACCGAGAAAAACUCGCGAGGCACCUGCAGGCAGUGGCGAGACGUGCUGGAAGACGCUGAGUUAUGGGCCACGUGACAGGACAAGAUGACAUGAACCUCCCCUGAGCCUUUAUGUGACCCUCCAGCCAGCCCCCACACCACCACCACCACCACCACCACCACCACCACACCCAUGCUAUACCCGGGGCCCUGAUCACUGUUAUCGGCGGCAACACUCCUCAUCUCGCGGGAAAGGUCAGUGGAAACGAAGGGAAAGAGAAGCAGGAAUGAGGAAGAGAGGAGCAGAAUAAGGGAGAAAAAGGGAAGGAAGGAAGAAAGUACGUACUGCAACAGGUCGCGUCGCCGCCGAGUCGUCUGCAUGGGUGUGACACAUGACCUGACCAGCUCGUUACAUGAACCCAUGCCCCACCCGCCGCCUCGACACUCACCAGGGGCGUGUAGACACUAAGGUGCAAACAGUCCUCGCUGCCGCUGACGAUGCCGGUGAAGAGGAGCGAGGCCUGGGCACACCGCGGCCGC